CGGCGAACGGGUGAGUAACACGUGGGCAACCUGCCCUACACUCUGGGAUAAGCCCGGGAAACUGGGUCUAAUACCGGAUACGACUCCGCAUCGCAUGGUGUGGGGUGGAAAGUUCCGGCGGUGUAGGAUGGGCCCGCGGCCUAUCAGCUUGUUGGUGGGGUAGUGGCCUACCAAGGCGACGACGGGUAGCCGGCCUGAGAGGGCGACUGGCCACACUGGGACUGAGACACGGCCCAG
rnacentral:rRNA from 1 species